rnacentral:rRNA from 1 species
UACGUAGGUGGCAAGCGUUGUCCGGAUUUACUGGGCGUAAAGAGCGCGCAGGCGGUCGAUCAAGUCGAGUGUGAAAGCCCCCGGCUCAACUGGGGAGGGUCAUUCGAUACUGAUCGACUCGAAGGCAGGAGAGGGUAGUGGAAUUCCCGGUGUAGUGGUGAAAUGCGUAGAUAUCGGGAGGAACACCAGUGGCGAAGGCGACUACCUGGCCUGUUCUUGACGCUGAGGCGCGAAAGCUAGGGGAGCAACGGG